UUUUUAUAUGCAGGCUAAUGUAUUUUUAGCCCCACAGAUCAAUGUUGCCACUACAAGGUUCAAUAUUGAAAUGUGAUUAUCAGAAGCAGUGGGCCAUCAUUGAAAGAUUACCCUUGUAGUGAUUCCAAUCAAGGUAUGGAUAAUACAUGGUUUUAGUUCAUGGUAAAUGGUACCUUUUAUUGUGGAUCACCCCUGGACCAAAGACCUAGUACCUUUUGUUGUUGUAAGUUCCUAAUUAGUUUGUUUCUGUAUUUGCGUCGGAGCUAUCCGGAUGUUGAGCGGGGGUCCCUGGAAGGUGGGAACCGCUGUUAUGACCAUGAUGAAGCUGUCCAUUUCCUAUGGACAACAAUAUGGGUGGCCUGACCAUUUGGACAGGCCCGUGUUUAUGUAUUAUCUCGAAAUUGAUGAAGCAGAUCCGGAUGUGCGUCGGAGCUAUCCGGAUGUUGAGCGGGGGUCCCUGGAAGGUGGGAACCGCUGAUA